UACGAAGGGGGCUAGCGUUGCUCGGAAUCACUGGGCGUAAAGCGCACGUAGGCGGCUCUUUAAGUCAGGGGUGAAAUCCUGGAGCUCAACUCCAGAACUGCCCUUGAUACUGAGGAGCUUGAGUCCGGGAGAGGUGAGUGGAACUGCGAGUGUAGAGGUGAAAUUCGUAGAUAUUCGCAAGAACACCGGUGGCGAAGGCGGCAUCCUGGACCGGCAUUGACGCUGAGGCGCGAAAGCUAGGGGAGCAAACGGG
rnacentral:rRNA from 1 species